rnacentral:rRNA from 1 species
GAUGAACGCUAGCUACAGGCUUAACACAUGCAAGUCGAGGGGAAACGACAUCGAAAGCUUGCUUUUGAUGGGCGUCGACCGGCGCACGGGUGAUUAACGCGUAUCCAACCUGCCCAUCACUUGGGAAUAACCUUGCGAAAGUAAGACUAAUACCCAAUGACAUCCCACGAAGACAUCUGAAUGGGAUUAAAGAUUUAUCGGUGAUGGAUGGGGAUGCGUCUGAUUAGCUUGUUGGCGGGGUAACGGCCCACCAAGGCAACGAUCAGUAGGGGUUCUGAGAGGAAGGUCCCCCACAUUGGAACUGAGACACGGUCCAAACGCCUACGGGAGGCAGCAGUGAGGAAUAUUGGUCAAUGGGCGAGAGCCUGAACCAGCCAAGUAGCGUGCAGGAUGACGGCCCUAUGGGUUGUAAACUGCUUUUAUAAGGGAAUAAAGUGGGUCUCGUGAGACUUUUUGCAUGUACCUUAUGAAUAAGGACCGGCUAAUUCCGUG